rnacentral:rRNA from 1 species
AUACGUAGGUGGCAAGCGUUAUCCGGAUUUAUUGGGUGUAAAGGGUGAGUAGGCGGGCUUGUAAGUCAGAUGUGAAAUGCAGCUGCUCAACAGCUGAAUUGCAUUUGAAACUGCGAGUCUUGAGAGUCGGAGAGGUAAUUGGAAUUCCCAGUGUAGCGGUGAAAUGCGUAGAGAUUGGGAGGAACACCAGUGGCGAAGGCAGAUUACUGGACGACAACUGACGCUGAUACACGAAAGCGUGGGGAGCAAACGGGAUUAGAUACCCUGGUAGUCCACGCCGUAAACGAUGAAUGCUAGGUGUGGGGCAGAAAUGUUCCGUGCCGCAGUUAACACAAUAAGCAUUCCACCUGGGGAGUACGGCCGCAAGGUUGAAACUCAAAUGAAUUGACGGGG